rnacentral:tRNA from 1 species
GGGCCGGUGGCUUAGGGGUAUAGCGCCACGUUCGCAACGUGGAUGUCAGGGGUUCAAAUCCCCUCCGGUCCA